AUACAGUUGCAGGAAAACAGGUGAAAUUCCUGUACAAGUCCGUUACCGUUAAAGUCGGAGUACUCUCUGUAU
rnacentral:ncRNA from 2 species